rnacentral:rRNA from 1 species
CAGCGACCCCAGGUCAGGCGGGGCUACCCGCUGAGUUUAAGCAUAUCAAUAAGC